UGUGAACUCGAAGAGUAGGGCGGGACACGUGGUAUCCUGUCUGAAUAUGGGGGGACCAUCCUCCAAGGCUAAAUACUCCUGACUGACCGAUAGUGAACCAGUACCGUGAGGGAAAGGCGAAAAGAACCCCGGCGAGGGGAGUGAAAAAGAACCUGAAACCGUGUACGUACAAGCAGUGGGAGCACCUUCGGGUGUGACUGCGUACCUUUUGUAUAAUGGGUCAGCGACUUAUAUUCUGUAGCAAGGUUAACCGUAUAGGGGAGCCGCAGGGAAACCGAGUCUUAACUGGGCGUUAAGUUGCAGGGUAUAGACCCGAAACCCGGUGAUCUAGCCAUGGGCAGGUUGAAGGUUGGGUAACACUAACUGGAGGACCGAACCGACUAAUGUUGAAAAAUUAGCGGAUGACUUGUGGCUGGGGGUGAAAGGCCAAUCAAACCGGGAGAUAGCUGGUUCUCCCCGAAAGCUAUUUAGGUAGCGCCUCGUGAACUCAUCUUCGGGGGUAGAGCACUGUUUCGGCUAGGGGGUCAUCCCGACUUACCAACCCGAUGCAAACUACGAAUACCGAAGAAUGUUAUCACGGGAGACACACGGCGGGUGCUAACGUCCGUCGUGAAGAGGGAAACAACCCAGACCGCCAGCUAAGGUCCCAAAGUCAUGGUUAAGUGGGAAACGAUGUGGGAAGGCACAGACAGCCAGGAUGUUGGCUUAGAAGCAGCCAUCAUUUAAAGAAAGCGUAAUAGCUCACUGGUCGAGUCGGCCUGCGCGGAAGAUGUAACGGGGCUAAACCAUGCACCGAAGCUGCGGCAGCGACACUAUGUGUUGUUGGGUAGGGGAGCGUUCUGUAAGCCUGCGAAGGUGUGCUGUGAGGCAUGCUGGAGGUAUCAGAAGUGCGAAUGCUGACAUAAGUAACGAUAAAGCGGGUGAAAAGCCCGCUCGCCGGAAGACCAAGGGUUCCUGUCCAACGUUAAUCGGGGCAGGGUGAGUCGACCCCUAAGGCGAGGCCGAAAGGCGUAGUCGAUGGGAAACAGGUUAAUAUUCCUGUACUUGGUGUUACUGCGAAGGGGGGACGGAGAAGGCUAUGUUAGCCGGGCGACGGUUGUCCCGGUUUAAGCAUGUAGGCUGGUUAUCCAGGCAAAUCCGGAUAAUCAAGGCUGAGGUGUGAUGACGAGGCACUACGGUGCUGAAGUAACAAAUGCCCUGCUUCCAGGAAAAGCCUCUAAGCAUCAGGUAACNNNNNNNNNNNNNNNNNNNNNNNNNNNNNNNNNNNNNNNNNNNNNNNNNNNNNNNNNNNNNNNNNNNNNNNNNNNNNNNNNNNNNNNNNACCAAGGCUGAGGUGUGAUGACGAGGCACUACGGUGCUGAAGUAACAAAUGCCCUGCUUCCAGGAAAAGCCUCUAAGCAUCAGGUAACAUCAAAUCGUACCCCAAACCGACACAGGUGGUCAGGUAGAGAAUACCAAGGCGCUUGAGAGAACUCGGGUGAAGGAACUAGGCAAAAUGGUGCCGUAACUUCGGGAGAAGGCACGCUGGUGUGUAGGUGAAGUCCCUGCGGAUGGAGCUGAGACCAGUCGAAGAUACCAGCUGGCUGCAACUGUUUAUUAAAAACACAGCACUGUGCAAACACGAAAGUGGACGUAUACGGUGUGACGCCUGCCCGGUGCCGGAAGGUUAAUUGAUGGGGUUAUCCGUAAGGAGAAGCUCUUGAUCGAAGCCCCGGUAAACGGCGGCCGUAACUAUAACGGUCCUAAGGUAGCGAAAUUCCUUGUCGGGUAAGUUCCGACCUGCACGAAUGGCGUAAUGAUGGCCAGGCUGUCUCCACCCGAGACUCAGUGAAAUUGAACUCGCUGUGAAGAUGCAGUGUACCCGCGGCAAGACGGAAAGACCCCGUGAACCUUUACUAUAGCUUGACACUGAACAUUGAGCCUUGAUGUGUAGGAUAGGUGGGAGGCUUUGAAGCGUGGACGCCAGUCUGCGUGGAGCCAACCUUGAAAUACCACCCUUUAAUGUUUGAUGUUCUAACGUUGGCCCCUGACCGGGGUUGCGGACAGUGUCUGGUGGGUAGUUUGACUGGGGCGGUCUCCUCCCAAAGCGUAACGGAGGAGCACGAAGGUUAGCUAAUCCUGGUCGGACAUCAGGAGGUUAGUGCAAUGGCAUAAGCUAGCUUGACUGCGAGCGUGACGGCGCGAGCAGGUGCGAAAGCAGGUCAUAGUGAUCCGGUGGUUCUGAAUGGAAGGGCCAUCGCUCAACGGAUAAAAGGUACUCCGGGGAUAACAGGCUGAUACCGCCCAAGAGUUCAUAUCGACGGCGGUGUUUGGCACCUCGAUGUCGGCUCAUCACAUCCUGGGGCUGAAGUAGGUCCCAAGGGUAUGGCUGUUCGCCAUUUAAAGUGGUACGCGAGCUGGGUUUAGAACGUCGUGAGACAGUUCGGUCCCUAUCUGCCGUGGGCGCUGGAGAAUUGAGGGGGGCUGCUCCUAGUACGAGAGGACCGGAGUGGACGCAUCACUGGUGUUCGGGUUGUCAUGCCAAUGGCACUGCCCGGUAGCUAAAUGCGGAAGAGAUAAGUGCUGAAAGCAUCUAAGCACGAAACUUGCCCCGAGAUGAGUUCUCCCUGAGACU
rnacentral:rRNA from 1 species